UACGUAGGGUGCGAGCGUUUGUCCGGAAUUAUUGGGCGUAAAGGGCUCGUAGGCGGUCUGUCGCGUCGAAAGUGAAAACUCAGGGCUUAACCCUGAGCCUGCUUCCGAUACGGGCAGACUAGAGGUAUGCAGGGGAGAACGGAAUUCCUGGUGUAGCGGUGAAAUGCGCAGAUAUCAGGAGGAACACCGGUGGCGAAGGCGGUCUCUGGACAUUACCUGACGCUGAGGAGCGAAAGUAUGGGGAGCGAACAGG
rnacentral:rRNA from 1 species